rnacentral:rRNA from 1 species
GAUUAGAUACCCUGGUAGUCCACGCCCUAAACGAUGCUGACUAGUUGUUCGAGAUGUACAUCCUGAGUAACGUAGCUAACGCGUGAAGUCAGCCGCCUGGGGAGUACGGUCGCAAGAUUAAAACUCAAAGGAAUUGACGGGGACCCGCACAAGCGGUGGAUGAUGUGGAUUAAUUCGAUGCAACGCGAAAAACCUUACCUACCCUUGACAUGUCACUAACGAAGUAGAGAUACAUUAGGUGCUCGUAAGAGAAAGUGAACACAGGUGCUGCAUGGCUGUCGUCAGCUCGUGUCGUGAGAUGUUGGGUUAAGUCCCGCAACGAGCGCAACCCUUGUCUUUAGUUGCUACGCAAGAGCACUCUAAAGAGACUGCCGGUGACAAACCGGAGGAAGGUGGGGAUGACGUCAAGUCCUCAUGGCCCUUAUGGGUAGGGCUUCACACGUCAUACAAUGGUGCAUACAGAGGGUUGCCAACCCGCGAGGGGGAGCUAAUCUCAGAAAAUGCAUCGUAGUCCGGAUCGUAGUCUGCAACACGACUACGUGAAGCUGGAAUCGCUAGUAAUCGCGGAUCAGAAUGUCGCGGUGAAUACGUUCCCGGGUCUUGUACACACCGCCCGUCAUACCAUGGGAGUGGGUUUUGCCAGAAGCCGUUAGCCUAACC